GACAAAUGUGUGUGGCAGCAGUUAUAGAUGUGGGUCUAGAAUUAAGCUUCCUGGAUUCAUAUCUGACCUCUGCCGAUUACUAGCUCUGUAACCUUGAACCACUUGAUGAACUUCUUAUGGCUUUGUUUCUUAAUGCAUAAAAUGAAGAUGAUAAGUACAGUGCUAAGUUCAUAUGGUUGUUGUGAGAGAGAGCGCAAUAAAUGAAAUAAAGUAAUAAACACCUGAAUGGAAACUGAAAUACAUCCUUGAGUUUAAAUGAAGAAGAUGGCAGUAAUCCAUAUUUAGUAGGUGGAGAAACUGAGGAAUUGAAGAUUUAAUCACUCAAGGAGCCAGACUUACGGAUGGUAUAUUCCCAUGCUUUCAUGAUUGCUGCAGGAGAAGAAAAGCUGCUCUGGUGAUUAAGUGUUCCUGUCUGGAAGUGACAUAUGUCCUUCUACUCAGACUUCAUUAGUUA